UUAGAUGUAAAUUGAUUUAUGUUUGGAAACACUUUAAUAGAAGUGAUUCUUAGGAGUUGAUGUUGUUUGGAUAG
rnacentral:pre_miRNA from 1 species